AAGUCGUAACAAGGUUUCCGUAGGUGAACCUGCGGAAGGAUCAUUAUCAAAACAGCGGACUUCGGUCCUUGCUGCACCCUUGUCUUUUGCGUACCGUAUGUUUCCUCGGCGGGCUUGCCUGCCGGUUGGACAUUAUCAAACCUUUUUGUAGUUGCAAUCAGCGUCAGAAAAUAAUAAUAAUUACAACUUUCAACAACGGAUCUCUUGGUUCUG
rnacentral:misc_RNA from 1 species